rnacentral:ncRNA from 1 species
GGAGGGGAAAGUGAUCUCUGACCGCGUGCCUGUUGAAGAAUGAGCCGGCGACUCAUAGGCAGUGGCUUGGUUAAGGGAACGGAACCCACCGGAGCCGUAGCGAAAGCGAGUCUUAAUAGGGCGAUUGUCACUGCUUAUGGACCCGAACCGGGGUGAUCUAUCCAUGACCAGGAUGAAGCUUGGAUGAAACUAAGCAGAGGUCCGAACCGACUGAUGUUGAAGAAUCAGCGGAUGAGUUGUGGUUAGGGGUGAAAUGCCACUCGAACCCAGAGCUAGCUGGUUCUCCCCGAAAUGCGU